GGCCAGACUCCUACGGGAGGCAGCAGUGGGGGAUAUUGCACAAUGGGGGGAACCCUGAUGCAGCGACGCCGCGUGGGUGAAGGAGCGUUUCGGCGCGUAAAGCUCUAUCAGCAGGAACGAGACAAGACGGUACCUGACUAAGAAGCCCCGGCUAACUACGUGCCAGCAGCCGCGGUAAUACGUAGGGGGCAAGCGUUAUCCGGAAUCACUGGGUGUAAAGGGAGCGUAGACGGCUGUGCAAGCCUGAAGUGAAAGGCGGGGGCCCAACCCCUGGACUGCUUUGGGAACUGUACGGCUGGAGUGCAGGAGAGGUAAGUGGAAUUCCUAGUGUAGCGGUGAAAUGCGUAGAUAUUAGGAGGAACACCAGUGGCGAAGGCGGCUUACUGGACUGUAACUGACGUUGAGGCUCGAAAGCGUGGGGAGCAAACAGGAUUAGAUACCCGCGUAC
rnacentral:rRNA from 1 species